GCAGCCGCGGUAACACCGGCAGCUCUAGUGGUAACAAUUUUAUGGGCCUAAAGCGUCCCGGUAGCCGGUUUAAUAAGUCUCGUGGUGAAAUCAUGUAGCUUAACUGUGGGAAUUGCUGGAGAUACUAUUAGACUUGAGACCGGGCGAGGUUAGAGGUACUCCCAGGGUAGAGGUGAAAUUCUGUAAUCCUGGGAGGACCGCCUGUUGCGAAGGCGUCUAACUGGAACGGUUCUGACGGUGAGGGACGAAAGUUAGGGGCGCGAACCGGAUUAGAUACCCGGGUAGUCCUAACUGUAAACGAUGCGGACUUGGUGUUGGGGUGGCUUUGAGCUGCUCCAGUGCCGAAGGGGAGCUGUUAAGUCCGCCGCCUGGGAAGUACGGUCGCAAGACUGAACUUAAAGGAAUUGGCGGGGGAGCACCACAACGCGUGGAGCCUUGCGGUUUAAUUGGAUUCAACGCCGGACAUCUCACCAGAGGCGACAGCUGUAUGAUAGCCAGGUUGAUGACUUUGCUUGACUAGCUGAGGGGAGGUGCAUGG
rnacentral:rRNA from 1 species